GUGUCAGCAGCCGCGGUAAUACGUAGGCAGCAAGCGUUGUUCGGAAUUACUGGGCGUAAAGAGUGUGUAGGCGGUGCCGCAAGUCUGUCGUGAAAUCUCCCGGCUUAACCGGGAGGGUGCGGCGGAUACUGCGGUGCUAGAGGGUGGGAGAGGUAAGCGGAAUUCCUGGUGUAGCGGUGAAAUGCGUAGAUAUCAGGAGGAACACCUGUGGUGUAGACAGCUUACUGGACCACUUCUGACGCUGAGACACGAAAGCGUGGGUAGCAAACAGGAUUAGAUACCCUGGUAGUCCACGCCCUAAACGAUGCAUACUUGGUGUGAGCCAUUCAUUUGGUUCGUGCCGGAGCUAACGCGUUAAGUAUGCCGCCUGGGGAGUACGGUCGCAAGGCUGAA
rnacentral:rRNA from 1 species